GAUGAACGCUGGCGGCGUGCCUAAUACAUGCAAGUCGAGCGAACGGACGAGAAGCUUGCUUUUCUGAUGUUAGCGGCGGACGGGUGAGUAACACGUGGAUAACCUACCUAUAAGACUGGGAUAGCUUCGGGAAACCGGAGCUAAUACCGGAUAAUAUUUUGAACCGCAUGGUUCAAAAGUGAAAGACGGUCUUGCUGUCACUUAUAGAUGGAUCCGCGCUGCAUUAGCUAGUUGGUAAGGUAACGGCUUACCAAGGCAACGAUGCAUAGCCGACCUGAGAGGGUGAUCGGCCACACUGGAACUGAGACACGGUCCAGACUCCUACGGGAGGCAGCAGUAGGGAAUCUUCCGCAAUGGGCGAAAGCCUGACGGAGCAACGCCGCGUGAGUGAUGAAGGUCUUCGGAUCGUAAAACUCUGUUAUUAGGGAAGAGCAUAUGUGUAAGUAACUGUGCACAUCUUGACGGUACCUAAUCAGAAAGCCACGGCUAACUACGUG
rnacentral:rRNA from 1 species